rnacentral:rRNA from 1 species
AGGAUGAACGCUAGCGGCAGGCUUAACACAUGCAAGUCGAGGGGUAACAUGGUAGCAAUACUGAUGACGACCGGCAAACGGGUGCGGAACACGUACAGAAUCUACCUUUAUCUGGGGCAUAGCCCGGAGAAAUCCGGAUUAACUCCCCAUAAUAUAAAUGAGUGGCAUCACUUGAUUAUUAAAAAUUUAUUGGAUAGAGAUGACUGUGCGUCCCAUUAGCUAGUUGGUAGGGUAACGGCCUACCAAGGCGACGAUGGGUAGCUGGUGUGAGAGCACGACCAGCCACACGGGCACUGAGACACGGGCCCGACUCCUACGGGAGGCAGCAGUGAGGAAUAUUGGUCAAUGGACGCAAGUCUGAACCAGCCAUGCCGCGUGAAGGAUGAAGGCCUUCUGGGUUGUAAACUUCUUUUACCUGGGAAGAACCCCUAUUUUCUAAUAGGGUUGACGGUACCAGAGGAAUAAGCACCGGCUAACUCCGUGCCAGCAGCCGCGGU